AGUGAAAGACUCUCCUGAGAGUGUGUGACCCAGGCUCCUCAUACAUCUGAUGAGAGACCUAAUAGUGACAUAUCCAGCAGAGUGAGGAGGAUGCCAAGAGCAAAAUCCACCCGGACAUCAGAAUUUCCCAGGGAGAUAAAGAGCUUUUUGUGAGAUGUUCAUGAAGCUCUGCUGGGUGAUACAGAACGGGAAUUGCUCUCAGCGUGAAGAACUCCCGAAUCUCUUCCCACACACCUCUUCACACAGCUGCAGUAAACUACAGAACGUGGAAUUGUUCAGAUGUGGUUUGCAAAUCACCACAGAAUGACCCAGGAACUUUAAGACAGACAGAGAGGAGUGGGUGACACACCUGACAGCAACCUGAUCUGUGUUGGAGAGAGUCAUGCCAAUGCCUCUGAGGGAUGCUGGUUAUGUUGACUGAGGCGCUACAGCAUUUGUCCGUGUUAAAACCAGAGAGUGCGCCUUCUAAUCUCACAGACCCAGCACCAGAUCUGCUUAUCAUAAAUUACACCCGGAGGAAAAGGAAUGAGGUCAGUUUGAGGUCACUGAUGGAAAGAUGGAGCUCUAGUUUAAGACAGUGGUGGACAAAAACAGAAUAAUGGUUGAUUUACAUGUGCAUCUCAAUUUAGCCAUUUAAGAUAUCAAC